GACGAACGCUGGCGGCGUGCUUAACACAUGCAAGUCGAACGGAAAGGCCCUGCUUUUGUGGGGUGCUCGAGUGGCGAACGGGUGAGUAACACGUGAGUAACCUGCCCUUGACUUUGGGAUAACUUCAGGAAACUGGGGCUAAUACCGGAUCGGAGCUCCUGCUGCAUGGUGGGGGUUGGAAAGUUUCGGCGGUUGGGGAUGGACUCGCGGCUUAUCAGCUUGUUGGUGGGGUAGUGGCUUACCAAGGCUUUGACGGGUAGCCGGCCUGGGAGGGUGACCGGCCACAAUGGGACUGAGAUACGGCCCAGACUGCUACGGGGGGCAGCAGUGGGGAAUAUUGCACAAUGGGCGGAAGCCUGAUGCAGCAACGCCGCGUGCGGGAUGACGGCCUUCGGGUUGUAAACCGCUUUCGCCUGUGACGAAGCGUGAGUGACGGUAAUGGGUAAAGAAGCACCGGCUAACUACGUG
rnacentral:rRNA from 1 species